GUUGUUUUUACUUUGAUAAGGCAACCCAGCUAAGAGAUAGAGCUUCAGAGACAUGAGGCGUGUGAUUUGAAUAACCUGCCAUGUAUAUGCACAUGUGCCGGACUACCGGAUCUGCUUGAAGAAAGUAAAAUGCCUUACUAAAUUCAUCACCCGGCAUCAGGAAAUUUAUCUCAACAUGUGGAGUAAUGCUGUUGGUUGCUGUGAAAUCCAUUUUUACGGUUAUGUCAUCAUGAACUUUUCAGUGUGCUUCUUAGAAAAUAGCACGCAGGUUCAUUGUGAAAUCGUGUGGUCCUGGCACGGAUGUUCUUGAGCAUACGCUGGCUUUUGUUCAUGACCAACGUUCUGCUCCAUCCUUAUCUUCCCGACGUAAGCUCAUCCAGCUUCUGCUUCAUCGCUUCGUACACAAUAAUACAACUUGUCUUACUGCACUGACGAGUUUGAACACUUCAGUGGUCGCUUCCGUGCCCCUGUUACACACCUGCAGUCACUCACCACGGGAUUAUGCC